rnacentral:rRNA from 1 species
UACGUAGGUGACAAGCGUUGUCCGGAUUUACUGGGCGUAAAGAGCGCGCAGGCGGUCGUUCAAGUCGAGUGUGAAAGCCCCCGGCUCAACUGGGGAGGGUCAUUCGAUACUGAUCGACUCGAAGGCAGGAGAGGGUAGUGGAAUUCCCGGUGUAGUGGUGAAAUGCGUAGAUAUCGGGAGGAACACCAGUGGCGAAGGCGACUACCUGGACCAGCACUGACACUGAGGCACGAAAGCGUGGGGAGCAAACAGG